GGGAGCUUGGCUCAGUUGGAAGAGCGCAGGUCUCAUACUUAGAAUGUGUGAUCUGGUUGUCAAACACCAGAGUAAUCCUGAGGUCGUGAGUUCGAGCCUCACAGUUCCCA